rnacentral:rRNA from 1 species
AUUGAACGCUGGCGGCAGGCCUAACACAUGCAAGUCGAACGGUAGCACAGAGAGCUUGCUCUCGGGUGACGAGUGACGGACGGGUGAGUAACGUCUGGGAAACUGCCCGAUGGAGGGGGAUAACUACUGGAAACGGUAGCUAAUACCGCAUAACGUCGCAAGACCAAAGUGGGGGACCUUCGGGCCUCACACCAUCGGAUGUGCCCAGAUGGGAUUAGCUAGUAGGUGGGGUAAUGGCUCACCUAGGCGACGAUCCCUAGCUGGUCUGAGAGGAUGAGCAGCCACACUGGAACGGAGCAACGGUCCAGACUCCUACGGGAGGCAGCAGUGGGGAAUAUUGCACAAUGGGCGCAAGCCUGAUGCAGACAUGCCGUGUGUAUGAAGAAGGCCUUCAGGUUGUAAAGUACUUUCAGCGGGGAGGAAGGCGGUGAAGUUAAUAACUUCACCGAUUGACGUUACCCGCAGAAGAAGCACUGGCUAACUCCGUGCCAGCCGCCGCGGUAAGAC